CAACCAUUCUGUAAAUAGCUGCUGUCUAAGUUGUUCAAAACUGAAAUUAAAUAGUGCCAAAAUAAUCUACACGUUGUGACGAUUCCAGAAAGGCGCGGAUCACAAUUUUUGGACAAACAGUUUGAAAGAUAUGAGACUUUGAAGUUACAGGGGCUUUUCUGGAAAAUGUGCAAUAAUUAUUUCGGCCGAAAAAGAAUAAAACAAUAAAAUAAAAAUCUCGCCACGUGGCAGCGCACGAUAGGUCGGGACAUAGGGUUCUGGCCGGCGGCGGCGCGGUCGGGUC
rnacentral:lncRNA from 1 species